rnacentral:rRNA from 1 species
GAAACGACUGCUAAGACUGGAUAGGAAAUUAGAAGGCAUCUUUUAAUUUUUAAAAGACCUUUUUCGAAAGGUAUACUUAAAGAGGGGCUUGCGGCACAUUAGUUAGUUGGUAGGGUAAAAGCCUACCAAGACCAUGAUGUGUAGCUGGACUGAGAGGUUGAACAGCCACAUUGGGACUGAGACACGGCCCAAACUCCUACGGGAGGCAGCAGUAGGGAAUUUUCGGCAAUGGAGGAAACUCUGACCGAGCAACGCCGCGUGAACGAUGAAGUAUUUCGGUAUGUAAAGUUCUUUUAUUGGAGAAGAAAAAAUAGUAGAAAAACUAUCUUGACGAUAUUCAAUGAAUAAGCCCCGGCAAACUAUGUGCCAGCAGCCGCGGUAAUACAUAGGGGGCGAGCGUUAUCCGGAAUUAUUGGGCGUAAAGGGUGCGUAGGCGGUUUGGUAAGUCUAUAGUUUAAUUUCAGUGCUUAACACUGUUCUGCUAUAGAAACUAUCAGACUAGAGUGAGAUAGAGGCAAGUGGAAUUCCAUGUGUAGCGGUAAAAUGCGUAAAUAUAUGGAGGAACACCAGAGGCGUAGGCGGCUUGCUGGGUCUUUACUGACGCUGAGGCACGAAAGCGUGGGGAGCAAACAGGAUUAGAUACCCUGGUAGUCCACGCCGUAAACGAUGAGUACUAAGUGUCGGGGAAACUCGGUACUGAAGUUAACACAUUAAGUACUCCGCCUGAGUAGUACGUACGCAAGUAUGAAACUUAAAGGAAUUGACGGGACUCCGCACAAGCGGUGGAUCAUGUUGUUUAAUUCGAAGAUACACGAAAAACCUUACCAGGUCUUGACAUACUCUGCAAAGCUAUAGCAAUAUAGUGGAGGUUAUCAGGGAUACAGGUGGUGCAUGGUUGUCGUCAGCUCGUGUCGUGAGAUGUUAGGUUAAGUCCUAAAACGAGCGCAACCCUUGUCACUAGUUGCCAGCAUGUUAUGAUGGGCACUUUAGUGAGACUGCCAAUGAAAAAUUGGAGGAAGGUGAGGACCACGUCAAAUCAUCAUGCCCCUUAUGAUCUGGGCUACAAACGUGAUACAAUGGCUGUUACAAAGAGUAGCUAAAACGCGAGUUUAUAGCCAAUCUCAUAAAAGCAGUCUCAGUUCGGAUUGAAGUCUGCAACUCGACUUCAUGAAGUUGGAAUCGCUAGUAAUCGCGAAUCAGCAUGUCGCGGUGAAUACGUUCGCGGGGUUUGUACACACCGCCCGUCA